rnacentral:rRNA from 1 species
GGAAGAACAUAGCNUACGUAACUGGCACAUCUGACGGUACNUAUUCAGUAAGCCACGUCUAACUACGUGCCAGCAGCGUCGGUAUAUGUAGGUGGCUAGCGUUAUCCCGGAAGAUGGGCCGUAAAGCGCGCGUAGCCGGUAUUUUAAGUAUGAUGUGAAAGCCCACGGCUCANCCGUGGAGGAUCAUUGUAUACUGUGAAACUUGAGUGCAGAAGAGGAAAGUGUAAUUCCAUGUGUAGCGGUGAAAUGCGCAGAGAUAUGGACGAACACCAGUGGCGAAGGUGACUCUCUGGUCUGUAACUGACGCUGAUGUGUGAAAGCGUGGAGAUCAAACAGGAUUAGAUACCUUGGUAGUACACGCCGUAAACGAUGAGUGAUAAGUGUUAGGGGGUUUCCGUCCUUUAGUGCUGCAGCUAACGCAUUAAGCACUCCGCCUGGGGAGUACGACCGCAAGGUUGAAGCUCAAAGGAAUUGACGGGG